AGGGGGAGACGAACCUAACACACCAGAAAGAGAAACGAACGAAGACCAAGACGCCCCGCAGCCCCCAGGUUUCUGAUGAGCCUGAAGAGGAGAAGCGCCUCCUCUUUGAAUCCACCAGUGAUGGACAGUGGUGUGUUAUUACUGGAGGACGGUUAAAUGUGGGAUUUCAGGCCAAGCAGCUGUCGCCGACGACCUGACGCUGGACAGUGAAAAUAAAACUGAUCAAUGGACAUGAAGUCACUGUUGCCGACGGCAGCGACGCAACGUCUUUAUCUGGAUGACAAAAAAAAAAAAAAGAAACGGGACAGAGAGAGGACGUCAACGGCGAAAGCUGCAACGUGCGACACUCGUGUGUUGUACGCUGCUUUGAACAGCUGAUCAGAAAACACCUGUGCUAGACGCUUAAGUAGGUGAUGUAGAUGACGCGUAGAUGAAAUAUUACAGAAGUUGUGCAUGUGUGCUUUUUAUAUUUGACUCUUUUAGGUGAUAAUUCUAAAUAUGGUUAGAUCUCUUGUGUUUGUACUUAGUAAUUUCUUCUUUAGCAUCAUAAUAUUUUCUAAUUUAAUUUGUCUCAUGUAAAACUGAAGAUUUCAAUCAUGACGUGAACAAUCUACAGUGUGUGACUGGAUUACUUGGUGCAAUAAUAAGAGGUUUAGAGAAUAUGACAAUAUAUGCAGUGACGCAGUAAUUUACUGUAAAUAACCUGGGAGUGAAUACGUCAUUAUUUUUGUUUAAUGACGUGCUGCUCAAAAUAAUUUUCCACUGUGCUAUUAGUACUUUGGUUCAAAAUACAUUUAGAAAAUGGUUGUAAUAGGUUUUUUAUUACUCACAGCACAUUUUAUUAUUUUAUGUUCAUCAGUACUUCACUGCAGCAUUUUACAACACAGUCACUACAGGAAUUAGUUAAUGCAAACAAAGCUGUUUAUUAUUAUUUAUUAUGUUUCCAUUUUUAUCUAUGCAAAAGGAAAAAAGUGAUAAAACUUGCACUAGGAGUGUUUUUACACAGGAACUAUUGUUAUGUUUGCACAAUAUCUGUUCGAUGUACGGGUAUGGAGAAAUGUGGUGUACUAAUAUGAGCACAGGUGCAAUGUGGGAUGUUGAUUUGACUGUGUAUGCGUAUGUGUGUGUGUGUUAUCUGCUCGGAGUAGAAACAGUGAAGUUCUUCUUGGCAGAAAUGUAGCAGAUCUGUUGAGUGAAACCAUGAUUGCACUAAAGUCUGAAAGACUCAAAACAGUAUUGAUUCCACAUGUCAAAUCUCAGUGAAACUGUAAAUGUGACAUGAGAACCUGUGAAUAUGUGCUACAGAAUAUAUUUUAACAUAGAGAGAAAUGAUAUCAAUGCGCUAUUAUGCACUGAACUAUUGUUUAAAGCUGGACUUGCACAUGAGAUACUGCCUGUUUCUAUGCAACUGUUUGUUAUGCAUUAAUAAUCAAUAAAAGUAGGAAUGUUUACAUUGAGACAA